GUUAAAAUAAUUUAAAAAAAAUACUGAAUUGUGGUUUCAGAAAUAUACACUAGUAUUUUUAACA
rnacentral:tRNA from 1 species